rnacentral:rRNA from 1 species
UACGAAGGGGGGCUAGCGUUGUUCGGAUUUACUGGGCGUAAAGCGCACGUAGGCAGAUCGUUAAGUCGGGGGUGAAAUCCUGGAGCUCAACUCCAGAACUGCCUUCGAUACUGGCGAUCUUGAGUCCGGAAGAGGUGAGUGGAACUCCUAGUGUAGAGGUGGAAUUCGUAGAUAUUAGGAAGAACACCAGUGGCGAAGGCGGCUCACUGGUCCGGUACUGACGCUGAGGUGCGAAAGCGUGGGGAGCAAACAGGG